GCUAUGCAGUAAGGCUGUGUAAACAUUAAGAGAAAUUCUGAUUCACAGCUUCAUCUUCAGGAGUAAUUUCUUAUACAGUAUGACCUCCCACCACCCUUGAGAAAUGUAAAAAUCUCCAGGAAAUUGGCCACAUAGCUUUAUAAGGAAGAACAAGAACACAGGAAGAUUACACCUCACUUCUGAUCUGGGUCCAGAGCAAUGGAGCCAGCUGACCAUGAACUGAAAUCUCGAAACCUGGUCAAAAAAGCCUAUCACAGCACCUGAUGUCUCCUAAAUUCUCAAAAGAAAAUGGAAAUUGUGCCAAAUGAAUGAGCAGCCACUGUGUGCGGAUGUUGUGGGAACAGGAGCUGCUGGUGUUUGGAACUGUGAAUGAACAGUUUUGUGGAACAUUUCAACUGCUGAUCUUGUCAGAUGUGCUUACAUGUUAGUAUUGUGAAAACAUUUUAAAGGCUGAUACUGCCAAAUGCAUUGAGGAACCACUGUGAAGGCUGACAUUGUCAAAUGGGGUGUCAAAUAUGUUUAUAUGAAAACAAUGUCACAGCAAUGUGUGUGACAUAUGGAUCUAUAUUAGAGCUACUGUACCAAAGGACAAGGUUAAAGCAAAGCGUGGUCCAAAUAAAACUCAAAGGUUUA